rnacentral:rRNA from 1 species
GACAGAGGGGGGCAAGCGUUGCUCGGAAUUACUGGGCGUAAAGGGCGCGUAGGCGGGAUGGCAAGUCGGUCGUGAAAUCCCUCGGCUCAACCGAGGAACGUCGAUCGAUACUGCUGUUCUUGAGGAUUGCAGAGGAGACUGGAAUUCCCGGUGUAGCGGUGAAAUGUGUAGAGAUCGGGAGGAACACCGGUGGCGAAGGCGGGGUCUCUGGGCCGAUACUGACGCUGAGGAGCGAAAGCGUGGGGAGCGAACAGG